GACGAACGCUGGCGGCAUGCCUAACACAUGCAAGUCGAGCGAGCAGAUCCCUUCGGGGUGAAGCUAGCGGCGGACGGGUGAGUAACACGUGGGCAACCUGCCUCAUAGAGGGGAAUAGCCUUCCGAAAGGAAGAUUAAUACCGCAUAAGAUUGUGGCUUCGCAUGAAGCAGCAAUUAAAGGAGCAAUCCGCUAUGAGAUGGGCCCGCGGCGAAUUAGCUAUGUGGUGAGGUAACGGCUCAACAAGGCGACGAUGCGUAGCCGACCUGAGAGGGUGAUCGGCCACAUUGGGACUGAGACACGGCCCAGGCUCCUACGGGAGGCAGCAGUGGGGAAUAUUGCACAAUGGGGGAAACCCUGAUGCAGCAAUGCCGCGUGAGUGAUGACGGCCUUCGGGUUGUAAAGCUCUGUCUUCGGGGACGAUAAUGACGGUACCCGAGGAGGAAGCCACGGCUAACUACGUGCCAGCAGCCGCCGCAG
rnacentral:rRNA from 1 species